rnacentral:rRNA from 1 species
UGAGGAACAUGACCUUCGGCGGGGGAUAGCCGGCCCAACGGCCGGGUAAUACCGCGUACGACCUUUCGGGACAUCCCCGGAUGGUGAAAGCAGCAAUGCGCCGAUGGAGUGCCUCGCGGCCUAUCAGCUAGUUGGUGGGGUAACGCUCACCAAGGCAACGACGGGUANCUGGU